rnacentral:sRNA from 1 species
CCACCACACCGCCUUCGCUCGAGCAUCCCUCGAUGGCACGCAUGUCAACGAGAAAAAAAUUUCGCGAUUGCCGCGUAGCGCACCAUUCCUGUGCGAAUAUGAGUGCGACUUGAUUACAUUACAACACCUUCCUCCCUCCCUCCAAAAACACACUGAUGAGUUCCUCGACGGUGGAUCAUGCAGACGACUCCCAUCGUAGCCCCUCAGAGGGUGCAACCUGUUCUUAGGUGACACCCCCCUCCCGAUCGUAAGAACCGAAUCGCCGUUGUGGAGCCUAACCCACUGCUGCUACCAGGGGGAGCUGACUCCUUCAUGUUUCUCCUCGCCGGUGUCGAGAGGGAGCCACCGCGCGUUCUUUGAUUUAUUGCCUGAGGCCCCUCAUCCUGCUGACUCGCACCUUGAGCGCGCCGCGACAGGCAAGUCGCCGUACAAGCAUGUGUGUCUUGUCGCGCCAUCCCUGCAGCCGAGCGCCUCGUGCCCGUUGACGCUUUUGGAGCGGGCGUCGGCUCCCACAUCGCCAUCGGUGUCUGUCACAUCACCACCUCAAAUGGUGGCUUCUUGCGGAGCUUCAUCGUCCGCAAGGCCUGCUGCAGCACAGGCCACUCGCGCAGCUGGCGUGCCGGUUCGGUGCUCUCAGUAGAGCGGGAGUACGCAAACGCGGCACUCCUCUCCUGCGAUGCACGUCCGUGCCUCUCUGCUGCAUUGGCGUAUUCCCUCUCGCCGCCAGUAGCCGGCGAUACAACAGGUAUACGAUCCCUCUGCCGAAGCAUCAGCACAGAGCGACAGCAUCUUCCUCCACCGGUAGCCGAGUCCCCGAUGCCAGUGGCACUCAUGCAGCAGGGGCGAGGGGAGGCCUGCAGUGAGUGGCGGAUUUUUCUGCUUCUGCAGAUGCCAAGGAUCGCGCGGUCGUCUGCGUAUCGGGCGUCCCGUCCCCGUGCAUCCGACGCUGUCCAACACGUAUCGCGACGAUGCAUCUCGAACGUUUUUCGACCGCUACGCUUUCUCGCUUUGUGCAUGCCCGAGCCGACACAUCAGUUCGCUGGGUAUGCGAAAUUCGUGAGAAACCGAAACACACAAACAAGAAUCCUUGCUCGUAGCGGGCAGAGGAGAGACUAGUAGCAGCGCCAGUGUGUGCUUGCACAUGUCUUGCAUUGGAUAUGUGGCAAGCGGAACCAGCACCGACAGCCAUCGGCCCCGUUCACGGCUUCUCCCACCCACCUCCCUCUCCCCACAUCGUCGCCGUUUCUAUGGAUGAUGACCUUUUACCCUUCUUCUGAGCACUAUGGUUCGCUUCUCGUUGCGUUGUUCAUCUACCUCUGUGCUCCCACACUCGACUGGAUUGAUCGCUAUCGAUUUUCUGGGGCCCGGCAG